UGAUUUUUGGAAAAACUAUCUUUUGCUCAAGGUUAUGUGGAUUUCGUUUUUGAACUAUCACCGUCUCACUCUCUCCGAAUCCGUAGUUCCAAGGUAAACUUGGUUAAACUAUCUUUUGUUCUACAUGUAUGACAAUUUCGUUUUUGGGCGAUUUAAUUUUUGGUUAUGUUUUGGAUAUGCUUGGUUAUGUUUUGUUUUAUUACAGGGAUUUAAUGAAGUUAAUGGUAGCAACUGUGUGUUGCGUUCAUGUUUAGAAAAUUUCUAAUCUAAUUAAGAGUUUUGUUCCGAGUUCGGUGAUUUGCUUCCCAAAACAAGAUGCCUAACUUUCAUGUAAUGGAGAUGAUAGGAUCCAAACUGGUUUGUGGGAUGAUUUUAUAAAACCACAAGUUGUUGGUGCUAAAGUUUCUAUUGAACAUGUCUUUUCCUUAGUCCUCUUCAUGGAAAGUAACAAUCACCAUGCAUAGGAGGCCCUUCGUCAUGCUAAGUUUAAGUUUCCCGACCGUCAAAAUAUAAUGAUAUACUGUCAUAUAGGUUCAAAGAGCUAUACAUCCCCAUCUAGAAUAAUGGUAAGGUUAUGUUUGCUUGAUUGGUCAAUUACACUCUGCUUCACUUGUCUUUGUUAUUGACAUUUUUAAUCUUCAAUUUUUAAUGGAAGUUUUUUUAGUAGUA